CUGCCAUUUUAAUAUAAAACUCUACAUAAUGUUACUCGAAACCCAGAGCAGAUAAAGUACAGAAGUGAAACUUAACAUCUGCAAACGUCUGUUAAGAAGAUAUUUCCAUAGACAGAAGACACGCUGCACUGAGCGCUCCAUGCUUCAGUGCUCUGGGAGUGUUUAUAGUCCUGUGAGUUUAACACUUCAUGACUGAGAGCUGCUACAGCAACUUCUUCACCCACAGCAGCCAUGACUUUAAUCCCCAUCUUCAUCUGGACCCUGAUCUUCUGCUCUCAAGAGUCCAUAGGUCAGGUGACUGUGACUCAGAGUCCUGCAGUGAAAACUGCUCUUUCAGUGAAAACCGUCACCAUCAGCUGCAGGACCAGCCCUGCUGUUUAUAACAACAACUACUUACACUGGUAUCAGCAGAAACCUGGAGAAGCUCCUAAACUCCUGAUUAAACUUGUGAAUCAGCUUCAGUCUGGUUUUGCAGCUCGUUUCAGUGGUAGUGGAUCUGGAUCUGACUUCACUCUGACCAUCAGUGGAGUCCAGCCUCAAGAUGCUGCAGAUUAUUACUGUCAGAGUCGUCAUUAUAUCAGCAGCACCCACCUGUUCACACAGUGAUAUAACGCCGUACAAAAACCUCCGUCACUCAGUCCGGCUGCACAGAGACUGCACUGCUGCAGUGGGAUCUCCUGCAGGUGCUGAGAUGGAGGAAGUGAAACAGGGCUGUUGAGCAAAAAAACUGCUGAGUUGGGGAUG